CCAGGGGGCUGGGCAGCCGCGUGCCGCAAGGUACGAGGAAAGUCCGGGCUCCACGAAACAAGGGUGGCGGGUAACGCCCGCCGUGGGCAACCACAGGGAAAGUGCCACAGAGAGCAUACCGCCGAUGGCCUGCCGAGGUUCGCCCUUGGACAGGAUCAGGCAAGGGUGAAAGGGUGCGGUAAGAGCGCACCGGGGCUUCGGUAACGCGGCCCGCAUGGCAAACCCCACCCGGAGCAAGGCCGAAUAGGGGCGGCGCGCUGGAAACAGCAGGUGCGUUUCGCAUCGACCGCCCGGGUUGGCUGCUCGAGCUGCGGAGCAAUCCGUGGCCUAGACGAAUGGCUGCCCCCGCGCGGCAGGUGUGUAAGCAUACCGCGGGCGGGACAGAACCCGGCUUACAGGCUCCCUGGCAAA
rnacentral:RNase_P_RNA from 1 species